GCCGUGAAAGCCCUCGAUUCUUUGUCUGUCGGUAGACGGCCUACGCACGGGAACGACGGACAUUUUUUUCAACUACUUGAUAAUCCCUCUUUACCUCGCUCCCUAAUCUUUGGGUGUCA
rnacentral:antisense_RNA from 1 species